GAACAGAAGUCAGUUGGCUGCUCUGAGAAGAAGGAAGAGUCAGUGCUUAGAGGAGCUGCCUAUGAGAAACAUCAAGGAGACUUUCAGGUGUAGCAAUGAACCACAGAGGGAAAACAUUAGCAGAUUCCUGGCCUGUUCCACAUGGUAACAUCAGCUGCAUCAGGAUAGUACAGUCUGCUAAUGGACAUAGAGCAAGGUGCAUCACUUCAAGUCCCAACUGUUACAACCAACCAAAACUUCACUCUGUACUCCAAAUAUAUAUAUUGAAAAGCCUCAUGAAAAACUGUCAUCUAUGGGACAGAAGGACACAUGGUCCCAACUCUAAGCCUGUCAUUGCAGUCCAUCUAAUGCUGUAGAUCACCUGAAGGUUUCACAAAUCUCUUCUAAGGCUCAGAACUAUUUUCUGACUGGAAUGUUAAGCCUUUCUAGAAUAUUAUGUAAUUUUGUUUAUAUGGUAAUUGCAAGGCAAAAAGGGUGUUACCUUAGGCAUAAGGAGAUGAUAUGCUAAACUAAAUUUUCUGUAGGUGCUCCUGGUGCAGUGAUAUUACAUUUUCCUGUUACUAGCUUUUCAUUACUGUGGACCUUGUAUUAAAUGAUAUGAAAUUGUAUUUUAUAAUUUUUGUUCAAAACAACAACAUUUGUUAAAGCAAUGUGCAAGAUUAUUAAAAUUAACAGGGAAAAAACUGUAAAAUCUUUUGUGAAGACUUAUUUGGCUUUCAUUAGAAAAUCAAGAAAAAUUUAGCUGAUGAUAAAAGUAACAUGUGAAUUAUCUCUUUAUACGUGUGUCUUUCAAUGCCAAUAGAAAGUGAUUAAACAUUACUAAAUUUAUUCAAGCAAUGUAAUACAGAGAUUGGAAGAAUUUUCUUCCUCCCUGCAGUGAUAAGGGGCAUCACUUUCAGCUUUCUUAUGUUAACUAAAAUAUUUUCUGCUACAUACAGGAUAUUGCUGCAAGCAGGUUCCAUGUUACAGAGAUUUCAUGGUUUGUCAGACUGGGGGAACCACAGCACAAGCUGGCU